rnacentral:rRNA from 1 species
UACGGGGGGGGCAAGCGUUGUUCGGAUUUACUGGGCGUAAAGGGCGGGUAGGCGGCCACCGCAAGUCGACUGUGAAAUCUCCGGGCUUAACCCGGAAAGGUCAGCCGAUACUGCGGGGCUAGAGUGCAGAAGGGGCAACUGGAAUUCUCGGUGUAGCGGUGAAAUGCGUAGAUAUCGAGAGGAACACCUGCGGCGAAGGCGGGUUGCUGGGCUGACACUGACGCUGAACUGCGAAAGCUAGGGGAGCGAACGGG